GAUGAACGCUGGCGGCGUGCCUAAUACAUGCAAGUCGAGCGAACGGACGAGAAGCUUGCUUCUCUGAUGUUAGCGGCGGACGGGUGAGUAACACGUGGAUAACCUACCUAUAAGACUGGGAUAACUUCGGGAAACCGUAGCUAAUACCGGAUAAUAUUUUGAACCGCAUGGUUCAAAAGUGAAAGACGGUCUUGCUGUCACUUAUAGAUGGAUCCGCGCUGCAUUAGCUAGUUGGUAAGGUAACGGCUUACCAAGGCAACGAUGCGUAGCCGACCUGAGAGGGUGAUCGGCCACACUGGAACUGAGACACGGUCCAGACUCCUACGGGAGGCAGCAGUAGGGAAUCUUCCGCAAUGGGCGAAAGCCUGACGGAGCAACGCCGCGUGAGUGAUGAAGGUCUUCGGAUCGUAAAACUCUGUUAUUAGGGAAGAACAAAUGUGUAAGUAACUAUGCACGUCUUGACGGUAACUAAUCAGAAAGCCACGGCUAACUACGUG
rnacentral:rRNA from 1 species